rnacentral:lncRNA from 1 species
UAGUAACCAUAUUCACAAGAUGACCCUUACGGAGAAUGAAGAGAAUGCUAAUUCAUCCAACACCAAAACGCCUGACAUCAAGAACAAAAAUAUUCAACAACAAGAACAAGAUAUCAACCUUCAAAUCUGCGCAUCAACUUCUCAAGAACAAAACAUAGAGAUAGUUUUGACUAACGAAGAAUUGGUGAGAUCACCCAAACGUUCAAGAAUCACAGAAUCAGACGAAGCAGAGUCAUCCAAAAAUAAUGAACAAGAAUCUUAUUUUUUUUUGGGUUGCGAAGAUUUGGGAGAGGAUCCUCUGUUAGAAGCAGAGGAAAUCCUAUUGAAAUACAACGAUUUUAUUGAGUACGUAUACCAAAUUUUGAAAAACGAUGAAAAGAAACAAGAUUGGAGUGAGAUUGUUAAGAGAGUACAAAAUCUGGCUAAUCUUUUGCAUCUAAAACUGGCAGUAUUGAUUUUUGAUAUAGAAUGUCUUGAACAACAUCCACGUUUUGAGAAGCAAUAUAAUUUCAGAUUAAGUCACAUUCCUAAUAUAAUUACUGUGAUUGAACAAAUAAAUAUAGAAAUUAUUAGUUCCAAGUGUUUCAGUCUUGUUUUGGAUAACAAGAACAGAAGAAAAGUGUUGCCGAUUUGUCUACGGGAGUUCGAGAGAUGGAGGCAACAAUUGAGUCUACUGAUAGAGAAAGUGCAAAGACUGAAGAAAAUGGCUUUGGAAAUAGAUCGUGAUCAUUUGGAAACACAAGAAACAGAUUGAAUCCUAUGGGUUUGUUUUAGGUUUUUUUCUUUGAGAGAUUUCAUUAGAAUUUUUAGUUUCUUUCCAUUUUGGAAUUUAAUUCUUUGCAACUUUUUACUCUCUCAGUUUUUUUGUUGUGGAAUUUCAAGAUGAGUGAUGUAAAAUUAGUGAGUGUUCUUUCCUUGUUUUUAGAAGCUCUAAGGUUGAAGCAUGGCAUCUAUAGUACUCAUACUGUUCUUUCCAAUGCAUUGUCAAUUGUUUUUCCGAAAAAAUGAAAAACUUCAUAAAACAAUACAUUAAUUGUUUCAUUUAGAGCUUAAUUCAACUACACUGAAGUGUGUCAUUAAUGAUGCUAGUCGUGGAUCAUUACAUUCUCUUUACCACUUCCUGCCCUUAAACCAUAGUCCAUAUCUCAUUGGUGAUCAUCCAUGGCUAAUGUGUUCUCUCCUUACUUCACAAUAAAAUGAAUAUGUGAAUGAAUUAAAAAUGCAAUUAAAUGCAAAUGUGGGAUACAAAUUCAUUUCAUGACAACAAAAACAGAAAAAUUAUGAACUUAAAACCAAAACUAAAUUUCAAACGUUACUUAGCUAUCAAAACCAAAAUUUGUUAUUAAAAUAAUAAAUUAGGAAUUUAAAGCAAGAUUAAAUUUCAAGACUUUGUUAGUUUGUUUUUUUAGAAGAAAAAAAUGAAAAUUAGAUGUGGUUACAAAAUAACAAUAACAUUGUCAUUCAACAUUAAUAGGUCUAAAAGUUUAUAUAAACUUCAUUUCAAAAUAUCACGUUUAGAGAGACGCGUUUGUUUUUAUAAUUCAAUAUAUUUGAAAAAAAAUAGGUAUUUUAUAAUUUUGGAAGAAAUUGACAAUAAAAAAGAAACAAAUCACUGAGAAGAAAGAAAAUUUUAGUAGGAAGAUUUACAAAUGACACACUUUUAAAUAACAUUCACUUACUUUCACUCAAACUUUUUUACUAACUCUCUUUCUCUCUUUGCUUACUUGCUUUCAUUGGCAUAGUUCACAGAUGAAGAUCACACCUCCUAUUUAUAGGCAUAAGUUCCUUGGAGUCCAAUCCAAAAGACUUCUCUAAAAUUUUACCUAUUCUAAUAUUUCUCUUUUCCUUAUCUAAAAGAAUUCUCUAUAACUUUUUAUCCAUAUAUUUUAGAUUUCUUCUUCUUUAGUUUACAUAAUUCUAGAAUUUUAAACUAUUCAUUUAAUAUCUCUACAAGAUUCUAGUUAGUGUUGCUAUAUACUUUAACAAUAAAUAUUUUUCUUUUUCUCUAACAAAAUUGUAUACACCAUUCUUAAGUGUAAUAUUAUUUAUUUCUUACUCGAUAAUAGUUUGUCACAAUUAUCAUCAUACAACCAAACAUGUAUGUAACUUUACUGAUUUUGAUCUACAUUAUGAAGCAAAAGACCCAAAGUUUGAAUCUUUAAAUUCUUCCAAAUGAAAUUUUAACGUCUCAACAUUAGAAUUUAAAACAUUGAUUGACACAUUCUGAAUUAUUUAUAACAUUCAUCAUAGAUAAAUAUAUUUUAAUGCAUAAAUAAAACUUUUCAUAUUCAAACUUUUUCAGUUCUAUCUUGUGGAUUGAAUAAAGAUACAUAUAUAUGUAUAUAUAAUUUUUAUGAUAUGAAGUAAAGUUUAAGGCUUUUUGUUCUUAUGAAUUUGACACAAAUUUAUGCCAUAAAAUAUAUUUUAAAGUAAGUAUAAGAAUAGAGGUCAAUCUUCAUGUAUUAAGUAAGAUAACAAAUAUAAAAAUAUUGAAUAUUGUCAUAAUGAAAAUAACCAUUUAACUUUUAUUUUUAAAAAAUUAAAAUAAAAGUUAAUAAUAGGUAAAGAUAUUUUUAAAUAUAGCAAAAAUUAUGUACUAAAAUAAAUACAACAUGAGAAAAGUAUCAACAACUAAAUACAAAAAUAUUAUACACCAAAAUAUGGCAUAAUUACGGCAAUAAAGAGAAUGAAGAGAAUGAUAAUUCAUCUCUAAAUGGCUGACAUCAAGAACAAAAGUGUUGAAGAACAAGAACAAGAUAUCAACCUUCAAAUCGCCAACCUUCAAAUCGGCACAUCGAAUUCUCAAAAACAGAUGGAGAUAUUUUCAAAUAAUGAAGAAUUGGAGAGAUCACCGAAUGGAUCGAGAAACACAGAAUCAAACGAAGCAGGAUCAUCGAAAAAGAAUGAACAAGAAUCUGAUUAUGAUUCUGGUUCUGAUUCGGAUAUGGAUGAUCCUCUGUUAGUAAUAGAGAAAAUUCUAUUGAAAUACAACGAUUUCAUUGAGUACGUAUACCAAAUCUUGAAAAAGUAUGAAGAGAAACAAGAUUGGAGUGAGAUUGUUGAGAUAGUACAAAAGCUGGUUAAAACUUUGAAUCAACAUAUGAUAGUAGUGGAUUUUUAUAUGAAAUGUCUUGAAGAGUUGGGAUGUUUUGAGAAGCAAUAUCAAUUCAGAGAAACUCAUACUCUUAAUAUAUUAGAUGUGAUUCGACAUAUAAAUACAAGAAUUGCAAGUUCGAGUAGUUUUAGACUUGUUUCGGAUAUCAAGAACAGAGGAAAAGUGUUGCCCAUAUGUUUAGGGGAGUUUGAGAGAUCGAGGCGAGAAUUGAGUCUAAUGAUUGAUUCAAUGCAAUUACUGAAGAAACUGGGUUUGGAAUUAGAUCGUGAUGAUGAAACAAGAUGAAGAAGAAACAGAUGGAAUCCUAUGGGUUUGUUUUAGAUUUUUCCUUUGAGAGAUUUCAUUAGAAUUUUUAGUUUCUUUCCAUUUUUUUUUCUUUUACUCUCUCUGUCUCCAAUUUCUUUGUUGUGGAAUUUCAGGAUCAGUGUUCUUGUUUAGUAUAAUUAGUGAAUGGUUUUAAUCAUGCUAUUCAAUUCUGGAUGACAUCUUAAUAUUUCUACGUUUCUGAAUUAGCAUUUUGAGUUGGGAAGGUUGUGUGUAACAAAAAUGUUAAAUAAAGAUGAAGCUUAUUGUUUUUAGAAGCUUUAAGGUUGAAGCAUGAGGUCUAUAGCACUAAUAAUUGAUCGUUGCAUGUUCUUCGCUCCUUCCCCAUUAUCAAGAUAUAUUGAUUGAACAAAGAUAUGUUGUUUAAUUUUUUGUAUGAUAUGAAAUCAAGUUUUUGGUUUUUUCUGAAUUUGGCACAAAUUUAUACCAUAAGAAUAUAUUUGAAGUAAAUAUAAGAAUAGACAUCAAUUAUUAUAAAAAUAUUGCAUAUUAUCAUCUUUAAAUCAAAAUAGAAAUUUAACUUUCAUUUUAAAAAUCUAAAAACAAAAACAAAAAGCUAAUAAUAUCAUGCAUGUUUCUAAAUAUAGAAAAAUGAAAACUAUUUACGAAAUAUAUAAUAAAUCUAUCAAAUUUUGUAGAGGUCGUUUAAUUUUUUUUGAUAAAUAUUUUCAAUUUUUUGCUAUGAAUAAAAAUUUCUCUAAUAUUAAUUUCUAUUGUUUCAAGAGAAUAUUAUUUUUUAUUGUUAGAAUAGGAGGAAAGGAACACAAAAUGAUAUUAUAAUUUUUUUUUAAAAGUAAAAGUGUUUAACUGAAGUAGAAUAUAAUUUUCUAGAGGACAAUUUAAAUUUGAUUUAUUUUUGGUUUUGGGAUUUGAAAAUAGAGGAAAAGAGAAAAAGAGAAGAAACCCAACUGACAAAUAUGGGGAUUAAUUUUGAUGACCUUCAAGAAAAUUUUAAAAUGUUAAUGAUAACUGUUUUAACUUUUUAGUUGACAAUUUCACAUCAACGGAGGCUUAGGCUUUUGUAUUAGAAUAUUAGGAACUAACCUUAUUUUGAGUAAAAGUUCAUUAUCUCAAUUCUUGGAGAGAUUAUAGGCUUUUCCAUAUGAUACCCGAAAGUGUUGAACUCAUUCAAAGAGGGAAUUCUAUGAACUUUCAUGUAGUGGGCAAUGAGAAAAUAGGUGUCUUGAUUUAUCCUCUUGUGCAUGUUCUCAACAAAGCACCCGCCACCCAUUCUGAGAGUACUAGUUAGGGAUAAAUAGUAAGAUUGGUAGGAUAUCAGUAAGGGGUACUAUGAGUAAUCAGUUAGUGGUACCUUAGUUAUAAAUAAGAGGAGUUGGGCACCUUAGGGGGUGGAUCUCUGUGGUGAAAGUUUUGGGACUUUGGGAGAGAGAGAGAGCCCUCUUGAAAAGCUAUUGAUAAUAUAUUGUAACUUCUUUCGGUAGUGAAAUAUAUUACUUUCUUUUGUGUACUUUGUAUUUCCUUACCCUUUUUUUUUUUUGUUAGACUAUACCCUUACAUUUUCCUUAAAGAUAUUAAGCACUUAGCAGACGUUGAUGAUGAAAAUUAGCUAAACUUUGUUCGUGGAUUGUUAUUUUAUUUAAGUACAUAUUACUUAUUGUGAGUAAGGACUACCUUUCUCAAAAGAAGGUUGUAUAAUUUGGUAUUCAUGUUCUUUCCCCCUUCUUCACACGAAAUGGCUACCUGAUCCAAAAUGGAAAAGUCUAAAGGAGAUGAGAAAAUCUUAAGCUACAAUGGUCCAUAUUUUUUGAACAAUCGAAUCAUUGUGUUCUAUUUUAGCUAUCUAAUCACAACUCAUCCUUCCAACGACAUUCCUUCUUUGUUAGGAAUUUGGAAUAAGGUAAAUGACCCUAUUGAUACUCUUUCUAUUAGGUUAAUGAUUCUUCACAUAAUUGAAUGGGUGAUCUCUGGUUUGAUUAAUCUUUGUUCUUUUGAGAAAUUAGAUGUUGUUGUAAUCUUAAGCUACCAUUUGUUGUUAUGUCUUGAUGUUUAGUAUAAUUCAAAAUUAGGGGUAGACAUUCAAAUAUGUGUUGAUGUUUAGUAAUGAUCCUAAACAAAUAUGAAGUAUUUUUUUUUUCUUCAUAAUAUGUUUAACAUUAACAUCCAAUAUCAAAGAACGUUGACAAAUAUAUAUUGAUGUUUAGUAUAAUGAUCCUAAUGUUGAUUAUGUUGUUAAGAGAAAAUUACUUUGUUGUAAAUUGUUAUCAGUUGAGGGUACUGAUAAAUAUCAUGUUGUGAUGCGAAAACAAGGAAAGAAAUGGCAAGCCAAGCAGCUAAUUCUAUCAAUGGCGACAUGAAGGCAAACCUUCUGUACUUUUUUACACUCAUACAUAUUAAUCAUCUUAAAAAAGAUAGUGUCUACUCAUGUAUUUUAUACAGUUUAUUUGGACGGAGCAUAUAUCAACGAAAUGAUGCUGAGAGGUAUGGUUUUCUUAUUCAAAAUAUGUCAUUCUCAUCAUUUUUUUUGGUUGAGUAAAACAUUUGCUUCUAGAAUGGUAUGGAGUUUUUUUCUAUGUUCAAAAUAUACUUGCUCUUUAUAUAUAUCUUUUUUAUUCUUAUGACAUUAUCUGUUAAUCAUUUUUAAAAAACUAUUGAUACGUUAUUAGGACUAAUUCUGUGUGCGUUGGAAAUUUUAGGAUGUUGCUGUGAAGAUUCUGAUGGAAGAAGAUCUUCAUGCAAAACGUUUUGAUGAGUUUCUUAGGGAGGUACAUGUCCAAAUUUUUAAACCCAUAGUAUUUUGAAGCUAAUUUUUGAACAAUAUGCUCUACUUGCAAGUAACCAUUCAGUAGGUUCAAUCACUUUUCUGCAUUUCUAGGUUGCCAUAAUGAAAUGUCUAUGACAUCCAAACAUCGCUCUCUUUAUGGGUGCAUUCACAGAACCUUCAAACUUGUCCAUGGUAAAAGAACACUCUUCUUUCGUCAUCUUUGUCAUAGAUUAUUGUUGAAACAACUAGUUACUAUGGAUUGCUAUGGUGCUACUCUACCCCAUCACGGUAUAGUCUCAUCUUUCUUUGUGGUUUUUCCUUGACUUUGAAGAAUAGACAUGUAAAUUUGUUUCAGUAGACAAGGAUGCAAUACUUUUCUUCCAAAAUUAUAUAUAAUGGACAUACAUAUUGGACAUUAUGUGUAUAAAUUUGGUGAUUAGGUAAAAUUCCUAACUAUACAAUUGUACAUCUCUUUUUCAGAUUGAAACUCAUGACUACAUGACCAUGGUUCAAGCAACAAAGAAUAUUUUUAGAGGUGAAGGAUUAUCGGUUGGUUGUUCAUGUUUGUACAGAAAAUCAUGUUAUAUGUAUUAUGAUGUACUAUUUCACUGGUUUUGAUUAAGGGCGGUAAUUUCAAACUUGUAAAUUGUUCAAAUUUAAUUGAAAAUGUAUGAAUAUUACAAAGUGUAUUAUAGCAUAUAUAUAUAUAUUAUAACAUUAUUGUCAUUCAAAUGGUUCGUGUAAUGGCGGAGCGACAAGGAGAACAAGAAGAACGGUAGUAAUUGAGAAAUUUGCAACAGAAUAAAUGUCAUAAUAUAUGAAUUUGUUACAUCUCAUAAUUGUCGUCAAUAUUAAAACAAUGACAUUUUUGUUAUAAAAAAACUGUCACAAUUGCUCUAUACUUGACCGGAAAAAAAUGUCGUCAAUUUCGAAAAGAUGUCAUUUAUUUUUUUAAAAAAAAACUAUCACGAUUGACAUAUCUUUGACAUUUAAAAAAUGUCAUAAUAAACGAAUUUGCGACAUCAUUUUAAAUGUCGUUAAUACGCAAAUGAUGUUAUAAUACAUAACACCCAUAUAGAAACAUAUGACAGUUAUUUGUUGUCAUAAAAUAGUAAUUAACGACAUUUAUUUUCUGUCAUGAAAAAACUUAUUGCGACAGUUUUUGAAAACUGUCAUGGAAGAACUUUUCAUGAUUCUCGAUACUAUGACUGUAAAUAACUGUCACAAAUUUUAUUCGUGACAGAAAAUAACUGUCGUUGUAGACAAUUUUUGUUGUAGGACAUACGACAAAUAUAUUGAAGUUGAGACAAUGUUAAAAUUUAACUAAUAAACAAAUGAAAGUAACUCUAUAUCAAAUAAAUUUAAGUAGUCGAAAGAAGUGUGUGAGCAAUUGGCACUAAUUGCAAUUUCUCAAACACUUUCGAUUGCUAGGUUCAAAAAAGGAAAUUAAUCAACUUUGAUUUUCGAAACAAAUUGUAAAUGUUACUGAGUUUAUAUUGGUAGUUAUUAUUAUAUCCUCAAACUUUACAGGGGUAAAAUCGAACCCUCAAACUUCUAUCUAUAUUAAAAUUAGACUCUAGAACUAUAUGAUUGUGAUGUUGUUUAGCAAUUGAUCGAGUUAGGUAAAUAUUAAAACUCUCUUCACCCUUAAUCUUUUAUAACAAUUAAUGUCUUAAAAAUGGAGAAGUUAAAUUUUGAAGGAAAAAAAUUAAUUGUUUUGAAAAUUAUGUAAGAGUUGAAGUCAUGCAAUUACAAAUGUAUAUAGAAAUAAAAUAGAGAAAAAGUAGUUUUGAUGUUAAAAGAAAAAAGAAAAAGGGGAAAUGAUAAUGGAAGGUGUCUCUAUAUAUAAAUGAUAUUCAGCAGUGGGGAGAGUUCAAUUUUUCUGAUUGAAUUCUUCUUAACCAUAUUCACAAGAUGACCGAUAAAGAGAAUGAAGAGAAUCCCAAUUCAUCCAACUCCAAACUGCCUGACAUCAAGAACAAAAAUGUUCAACAGCAAGAACAAGAUAUCAACCUUCAAAUCCGCACAUCAACUUCUCAAGAACAGAAGAUAGAGAUAGUUUCCACUAACGAAGAAUUGGUGAUCAGAUCACCCAAUCGACCAAGAAUCACAGAAUCAGACGAAGCAGAAUCAUCCAAAAAGAAUGAACAAGAAUCUGUUUCCUAUUUGAAUUGCGAUGAAUUGGGGGAGGAUCCUCUGUUAACAACAGAGAAAAUCCUAUUGAAAUACAACGAUUUCAUUGAGUACGUAUACCAAAUUCUGGAAAAGGAUGAAAAGAAACAAGAUUGGAGUGAGAUUGUUGAGAGAGUACAAAUGCUGGAUAAAACUUUGAAUGAACAUCUGAGUUAUGUGGAAAUUAGUAUGGAAGUUCUUGAAGAAAUGGGAGGUUUUGAGAAGCAAUAUGAUUUUAGAAAAAUUCAUAUUGUUGAUAUAUUAGAUGUGAUUCAAAGUAUAAAUAAAGGAAUUGCAAGUUCAGGUAGUUUCAGACUUGUUUCGGAUAUCAAGAACAGAGGAAAAGUGUUGCCGAUUUGUCUAGGGGAGUUCGAGGGAUGGAGGGAAGAUUUGAUUCAACUGAUUGAAUCAAUGCAAACAGUGAAGAAAAGGGCUAUGGAAGUAGAUCGUGAUAAUGACACAAAGCGACCAAUGGAAGAAGAUGACGAAGAAACAGAUUGAAUCCUAUGGGUAUUUGUGUUGUAAUCUCACAAUCUAACCCUCCUUUUCUACUCUUAAAGUCUCCUUAAAUCUCUUUUCUCCCUUCUCCCCACCUAAUCUAAUCCAUCUUCUUUCUCUCAUUUUCUAUGGAUUGUCGUCCUUUACUCAAACCUUGUCUACACAUUUAAAAGUGUUCAUAUUCUUAUGUGCGCUUUGUUUGAUUUUUCACUUUCCUUUCAAUCUCUUUAAGUUCAAAUCUAUAUCCAAUAAAAGGAUGAAGAAAAUCAAAUUUUAAAAUCCAAAUUAUCAUAAUCAUAUCUAUAAAACUAACAUCUUUCAUUGCCCUUCAACAAAAUUGGAAUUAACUGUGAUUAGUUAUUAUUUAACUAAGCAUUUCAAAAAGCUCUUAAACAUGAUUUAUGAGUUUUUAAAAAUAAAACCUUGAUUGCUUAUCAUUUGUUGUUAAGAAUCUUGAAAGUCUCACAUGGAUAAUCAACUUAACUAUAAUUCUAAAUUUUUGUUGGUGGUUUUAAAGAAGAAGUAUUAAUUACUGAUGGGUUAAAAUUCUUAUUUUAGUCUCUAAAGUUUUCAUUUGUUUUAUUUUGAUCCUUCAACUUUUAUAAGUUUCCAAACUUUUAAAAAGCGAUAAAAUUUCAUUAACUCUAUGUAGUAGAAUGAUGACAUGCAUUCGACUUUAACCCUAUCUUGCUAAUUUAUUUUAUAAAUAUUUCUAUGCCAACAUAGAAAUAUAUUUAAUACAUUUUUAUUAAAUAAACACAAAUUCAAAACUAUUUUUUUCUUUUUUUCCAAAACUUAAAUCUCUCACGUCUCCUCUCGAUUCCUCCUUAUUUAUUUACUUACUUAUUUUUCAAAUUAAAAUAUAACUUGAAGCAUAUUAGAAAAAUGACAUUGAGUAAAAUAAAAAAUAAAAUAGAACGUGAUAGUGUUUAACAUUCACGACAAGAUAAAAUAAAUUAGAAAAAUAUAAUAAGUACAAUACUUAUUUAAAAUAAACUCUACAAAUAUGUCAACUACUAUUUUUUUUCGGAGAAUAAGAGACAUUGAGUUCAAAUCCCUUUACCUCAUGUGUACUUACAAGAAGAUCUUAAAAAAAAAAAAAAAUGAAAACCCACAAUUUGAAAUAACAAAAAUACUUGAAAUUUAUGAAAAUUCUACGUAGUACCAAAACUUUAUUUUUUGGAUAAAUUUUGACUAAGUGAUACUCAUGGCUAGCAUGUCUUAUACUGUGUGUUUUGGUCUAUUUCUUACUUUCUAGCGAGGUGAUUUGUUUGUCUUGGUUAAAAUGGUUUUCUAUAUGGUUUUGGUGGAUGUUUUGAUUUGGGCUCAUUCGAAGGGCUGUUUUUGUGCAUUAUUUUUGGAAGGACAUUUUUCUAACGACGACAAUCAAAAUUCAGAAAACAGUUACUUUUUUAGUUUUCCAACAAAACGUCAAUUUGUAACGUGACAGUUAACUAAAAAAUAAAACUUUAGCAUUUAAUUAAAAAAAUUAAUUUACCAUCAACAUUUAACUAAAAAUUAAAACCUUUAGUUAAAAGAAAAACGAAGAUAUGCUCUUUUUAGAAAUUUAAAAAUUAAAAAGGAAGAUUUUUAAAGGUUGAUGGGACCAAAAUAGAAUGAAUUUAUACCUUACUAAUAUAUAAUAAUUAAAAUGAGUAAAAAUGUAAUUAUAAAAUAUUUGGAUCGAUAGAGUUGUCCAAUUUUAUUUGAAAGAUAGUGACCUUAUAAAUUAUAUAUAUAGAUAAUUUUCCUCAUCUUUCUUCUUUCUCCUUCACUCCUCCCACUCCCACUUCCACUUCCCACCACCAAUUUCUUUUCUUUAAAAGAAUUAUAUUAGAUUAUUAACACACAGUAAUAUAUAUAUAAAUAUAUAUAUAUAUAUAUAUUAAAAAGGCAUAAACACUAUAUUUAUAAUUUUAAAAGUGAAUAGACUAAAUGGAUAUACACUUUAGUAAAUCUAUAAGAGACUAAAUUGAUAAAUGAAAUCAAAUUGAAGAAAAGCAAAAUGAACACAAAUGUUGGAACUAUUAUGGUCUAAACCAAAAAUGAAAAAGGGAAAAUCAUAUAUUUAGUUUGGUAAUUGGAUGAAUAUGUACAUUUCUUUUCUAAAAUACAUUGUUGAUGGUGUAUAACAAUUUAGAAUAAAAGUAAAAAGUUAUUUGAGAGUAAAACUAAAUAAAUCAAUUUAUAUAAAGAAAGAUAUAUUUUUAAAAAUCAAAAGACCAGAAGGACUAAAAAGGUCAUAUUUCGAAAAUAAAAAAAUAAAAAAAAAUGCUGAGUCACCAUUAAGCUUGCCACGAGUAAUUCGCUGCGUUCUUUCACCAGGUAGAGGAGGGGAUAGAUAAGCUAACUGGAAGCAGCCCUCAAUUCCCAAACCAUUUGUUAGGUAAUGAGAACAACUACAACCACUUUUUCUUCUUCUUUUUCCCUCCCCAGUCUUCCCUUUUCUAUUUUCCAACCAACCACACAGAUUCCAAUUAUAACAAAGAAUCUUUGAAUAUUCCAUCCAUCCUCAUGGCCUGGUUCAGGAAUCUCAACAAACUUUCACCCUCUAAACCACCACUCAGAUCCACAAAUCCCCACCCAUUUCUUCCUUCCACCACCCCCUUCACCUUCCUCCUCUCUCAUUUUAGCUCCCAACCCAUUUCCGAUGCGUCGGCGUCAGCGGAGGCACUGUCUCGCCCUCCCGGUCUCGGUCCGACGGCCUCCGGCGAGAAACCGAGGGUGGUGGUUUUGGGUUCCGGUUGGGCUGGUUGUAGACUCAUGAAGGGGUUGGACACAAGCAUAUACGACGUCGCUUGCGUUUCUCCUCGUAACCAUAUGGUUUUCACUCCUCUUUUGGCUUCAACCUGCGUUGGAACUCUCGAAUUCAGAUCCGUCGCUGAACCCAUCGGCCGGAUUCAGCCUUCCAUUUCUCGCGAACCGGGUUCCUAUUUCUUCCUUGCAAAUUGUACGAGCGUUAACACUGAUGAACAUUCGGUAUGCUUCUCAAUUGCUUACAUAAUAUUCUCAAUUGGUUUAUGAAUCUAGAAUCGAAUGCACGAUUCUGAGUUUCUUCUGAGAAGGAGAUUGUUUUAUUUGUUGUUGAAAGGUACAAUGCGAGACGGUUACUGAUGGGUCGAACACUUUGGAACCGUGGAGGUUUAAAUUAUCAUAUGAUAAGUUGAUCAUAGCGUUGGGAUCUCAGCCAUUAACUUUUGGGAUUCAUGGGGUUAAAGAACAUGCUAUUUUUCUUCGUGAGGUCUAUCAUGCUCAAGAAAUUCGUAGGAAGUUGCUUUUGAACUUGAUGUUAUCUGAUGUUCCAGGUAUUGGAUUGAUGGUUUUGUUAGAACUUGGUAUUAAGAAUUAUUCUUCCUCUUUUCUCAGUCGAGAUAAUUUGGUGUAUGUGAUUGGCAGGUAUCUCAGUGGAAGAGAAACGUCGGCUUCUACACUGUGUUGUUGUUGGAGGGGGUCCAACUGGAGUUGAAUUCAGUGGGGAGCUUAGUGAUUUUAUCAUCAAGGAUGUUACUCAAAGAUAUUCUCAUGUGAAAGAUUAUAUCCAAGUUACUUUGAUUGAGGUUUGUAAAAAUGUCGACCCGAGUAUCGAAAUCUUUACACGUAAUACACCAUGUGCGUUGUUAUUGAUCUCGGUUUCUCGAAGUUUUGUCUGAGCUGUUUCUCUAUAUUAGGUUGUUGAGCUUUUAAUAUCUCUGGAAAGAAAAAGUUGACAUUUGUUUAGAGAGGAAGGUGUUGUCUGGGAAGUUUAAUGGAUAUAUAUUUAGGAUUUGAAAAUUUUCACUUGCUUGUAUUUGUUUAAUUGUUUAACAGGCAAAUGAGAUAUUGUCUUCCUUUGAUGAUCGCCUUCGGCACUAUGCCACUAAGCAAUUGACAAAGGUAGGGAAGUUAAUACAUCUAAGUUAUGCCUUUCUCUUUCCUUAGUGAUGGUGACAAUAGGUUUCAAUUUCACCUUUUUUAGGAUACUUUGAAUUUGAAAUUCUUUCAUCUCAUUUUUUCAUAUCCCGCAGUCAGGAGUUCAACUUGUUCGUGGAAUUGUCAAAGAUGUUAAACCUCAGAGCAUCAUUCUCAAUGAUGGUUCUGAGGUUCCUUAUGGGUUGUUGGUUUGGUCUACUGGUGUUGGGCCUUCUCCAUUUGUAAAUUCCUUGGAAGUUCCAAAGUCUCCUGGUGGCAGGUAAGUUGAAAUAUACAAGUAACUUAUCCAAAAUGUUUGUGUUAGACCAUCAAUAACCCACCAUCAUAGUAGGAGAAGAAAUAAGAUAGAAAAUAGAAAAUAGGAGGGAGAGUGAGUUAGUUAUUAUGUAACUGACUAGGAGGGAACCACAACGAGUGGAAAGGGGGAUAUAAAUAGAAAGUGGAAGAGAGAGAAAAGGCAUUGAGUAUUUUGUGGAGGAAUUCAUUUAUGUAUAUUUUUGAAAGAGAGAGUAACAGAGUGAAAGUUUAGUUUUUCUUCAUCCAAUUGAACUUCAUAUUCAAUUUGAUUUCUAUAUUGUAAUUCCUAUUACUUUCAAUAAAGUGAGUUCAUAUACUAUACAAUCUGUGUUGGAGGAUUGAGUUUCAACAAAUUGGUAUCAGAGCAAGUUGAUCUUGGGGGAAGAAUUAUCAUGGUACAGACGAGGAUCAAAGAAAGAUUGGAGGCGCACGAUCAAGAACUGAUUGGUAUUAAGAAGGAACUUAGCAAGUUGCCAGCGAUGGAGGAGAAACUAACGUCGAUUUCGAAAAAUAUGGAGGUUCUUCAAGCCCAAUCAGAGAAAACUCACCAGAUGAUGUUGUUCUUCAUGGAAUUGAUAGCAAAGGAACGAUCGGUAGCAAGUGGUAAGACAGUUGAAUCGGCGGAACAAGAAACAUCACCGACGAAAUCUAAAUAAGGAGAAGGCUCAAUGAGCAAGGAAAUGAUAAGCGAAACUAGGAGAAGAAAAAUGAAAACAAAGACGAAAGUCUUGAUCGGCACAAAUUUAAAAAAGUUGAAAUGUCAGUCUUCAACGGAGACGAUCCAAACUUAUAGUUGUUUCGCGCAGAUAGAUAUUUUCAAAUACAUCGGUUAUCCGAUUACGAGAAGCUCAUUGUAGUGACGGUUAGUUUUGAAGGCCCGACCCGACACUGGUAUCGAUCUUAGGAAGAGAGAUAAGUUUACUGACUGGUUAAUUAUGAAGGAACUAUUAUUAAUCUGAUUUCAUUCGAUAAGUGAAGGUUCUCUUUAUAACCGGUUUCUGCGAAUUCAACAAACACCAAGCAUGGAUGAACAUCGAAAUCUUUUCGAUAAGUUGGUUGCCCCUUUAUCAGAUAUUCAGGAGAAAAUCGUGGAUCAAGGAUGAAGUGGAAUUUUGUCGAUCGGUGGGGUUAUCACAGAUGAUGAAGUACGCUCAAAUGGUGGAGAAUAAGGAGAUUUUAAGGAGGGAAGCAAAUUUAUCGGGAUAUGCUGGAGCGAAAUUCCCAAACUACCCUUCUGUCAAUAUCAAACCGAAUGUUGUGAAUAAUUAUCAAAAAAACAAAGGUAACAUUGUAUUUCCGAUGAGGACCAUUACCUUGCAAGGAUCAACGGCCAAUGAUCAUAAGAAGGAAGGGCCAUCCAAGCGUUUAUUAGAUGCCGAAUUUCAAGUCAAGAUAGAGAAGGGACUAUGUUUCAAAUGCGAUGAAAAGUACUAUUCGGGGCAUAAAUGUAAAACAAAAGAAAUAAGGGAGCAACGAAAGUUUGUGGUAAGGGCAAAUAACAUGGAAGAAGAAAUUAUAGAGAAAGACGAACAUGAGCAAAAGGAGUUGUGUUCUAUGGAGUUGAAAAGCGAAAUAGUAGGGGUAGUUGAAUUAUGUAUUACUUCCGUGGUGGGGCUGACGAAUCCUGGUACCAUGAAAGUAAGAGGGAAGAUCCAAGGAAGGGAAGCCAUUGUGAUGAUUAACUGCAGAGCCACGCAUAAUUUUAUCUCAGAUAAGCUGGUGUCAAUGCUGAAAUUGAACACGAAGGAUACCUCCAACUAUGAAGUUAUUCUUGGAUCCGGAACAGUCAUUAAAGGAAAAGGGAUAUGUGAGAAGGUGGAAGUUAACCUCGAUUGUUGGCCAAUAAUAUAAUUUUUUUUGUCAUUGGAGUUAGGAGGGGUGGAUGUAAUACUUGGGAUGCAAUGGUUGUACUCUUUAGGGGUGACUGAAAUGAAUUGGAAAAAUCUUAUUGUGACUUUCUUUUAUGAAAACCGUAAGGUGAUAAUUAAGGGGAUCUGAGUUAAACAAAAAUUCAAGUCAGUUUGAAGAGCUUGAAGAAAUCUUGGACCGUUUCAGACCAAGGAUAUUGGGUGGAAUGCAGAGCCUUGGAAGCUAGAAUUAUUGAGAUUGGCAGACAAGAAGAGGAGGCAACAAAUACAAGGCAGGAGAGUUCAAUCUGUGUUAGUAAGAUAUAAGGAUGUGUUCGAGUGGCCGGAAGAAUUACCCCAAGGAGGGAUAUUGAGCAUCAUAUACACCUGAAGGGAGGAACAUAUCCAGUAAACGUUAGGCCGUAUAGGUACAUGUUUCAACAGAAGGAAGAGAUGGAGAAACUGGUAGAUGAAAUGUUAUCUUCUGGAAUUAUUCGUCCCAAUACAAGUCCCUAUUCGAGUCUAGUGCUUUUGGUGAGAAAAAAAGAUGGAAAUUGGAGGUUUUAUGUUGACUACCAGGCACUCAAUAACGUAACAAUUCCAGAUAAGUUUACUAUCCCUAUUAUUGAGGAGCUUUUUGAUGAAUUGAAUGGUGCAAAUCUCUUUUUUAAAAUUGACCUUAAAGUUGGUUAUCACCAAAUUAGGAUGUGUAAUUAAGAUAUAGAAAAAAUAGCAUUUAGACCACAUGAAGGGCACUAUGUGUAAUCAAGAUAACUAAUGCACCAGCACCUUCUCAGUCCUUGUUGAACAAUUAUCAACAUGUGGAGUUGGUGUUAGAAGUGUUGAGAACUCACAAAUUGUAUGCUAACCAAAAGAUUGGAUAGAGUACCCAAUUCGAUAGGACCCUCCCCCCUCUCUGUUACUCUUUCUUUCAAGAAUACACAGAAAACUACUACUUCACCAAAAAGCUACCUUCCUCUCUCUUCCCUUUCUUAUUUAUAACUACACUCUCUACCUAUUAUGGUCCCCCUCCCAAAUGUCGCCCCACUCGUUGUGGUCCCCAUAUGCCGUUACAUUUCUCAACUAACUCAUUCUUCUUCUUUUCUUUAUCGUUUUUUCUCCUACUGUAUUGGUGUAUUAUGGGUGGUCUAACAUAGAUCCGGAGAAGAUAAGAUCUAUCAAGAAAUGGCCAAUUCCAUCUAAUGUACGAGAGGUUAGGGGAUUGACGGGAUAUUAUCAACGAUUUGUACAACAUUAUGGUUCCAUUGCAGCCCCUUUAACUCAGUUAUUGAAGCUUGGUUCUUUUAAAUGGACUGAAGAAGCUCAUGAAGCUUUCUUAAAGUUGCAAGAUAUUACGAUGACUCUACCAGUAUUAGCAUUGCCCGAUUUCAAUAUACCGUUUGAAGUGGAAACGGACUCCAUCUGGGUAUGGAGUGGGAGCGAUGUUGAUGCAAAACAAGAAACCAAAUGCUUUUUAUAGUCAGACCUUGGCAAUGAGGGAUCGAGCUAAGUCGGUUUAUGAGAGGGAGUUGAUGGCAGUAGUGUUGGCGGCCAUAUUUGAUUGGAAGACAGUUCAUAGUCAAGACUGACCAACGCUCUCUCAAAUUUUUACUUGAACAAAGAGUGAUAUAACCACAAUACCAGAAAUGGAUUGCGAAAUUGCUUGACUAUUCCUUCGAAACCCGGCUUGGAAAAUAAGGCAACAGAUGCCCUGUCUCGAGUACCACCUACGAUAUUCCUCAAUCACUUAACGGCCCCUACAUUGAUUGAUCUGAAAAUUAUUAAGGAAGAGGUUGAGAGGGAUGAGAAGUUGAAAGAAAUAAUCAUUCAGCUACAUAAUCAAGAAGUCAAAAAUUAUUCCUUGCAGCAAGGAUGCUUAGAUAUAAAGGAAGGUUGGUGAUUGCAAAGGCUUCCUCAUUGAUUCCCACCAUUAUGCAUACCUAUCAUGAUUCUGUCCUAGGGGGCAUUUCUUAUCCUAGGGGGCCUUUUGGGAUGUUUAAGAACCUACAAGAGAUUGACUGGAGAACUGGUUUGGGAUGGCAUGAAAUCAGAAGUUAAAAAAUAUUGUGAAGAAUGUGUCAUUUGCCAAAGAAAUAAGUCAUUGGCUCUUACACCUGCAGAGUUACUGGUUCCAUUGGAAAUUCCAAGUGUGGGAAGAUGUUUCCAUGGAUUUUAUUGAAGGGCUGCCAAAGUCGUUGCGGUAUGAAGUUAUCUUGGUGGUAGUGGAUCGAUAUGCCCACUUUCUAAGUCUAAAACGUCCAUUCAAUGCUGAAGGAGUGGCUGAACUGUUUGUUCAAGAAUAGUAAGGCUGCAUGGUUUUCCCCAAUCCAUUGUUUCCAAUUGUGACAAGAUAUUUCUGACUAACUUUUGGAGAGAGCUAUUUCGGUUAGCAGGCAUCAAAUUGAAUAGCAGUACAGCUUAUCAUCCACAAACGGAUAGGCAGACCAAGGUUGUCAAUAAAUCUGUUGCUACCUACGUUGUUUCUGUGGAGAGAGACCAAGGUUAUUAUGUAACUGACUCGGAAGGGACCACAGUGAGUGGAAAGGGGGGAUAUAAAUAGAAAGUGGAAUAGAGAGAAAAUCCCUUGAGUAUUUUGCGGAAGAAUUCAUUUCUGUAUAUUCUUGAAAGAGAGAGUAACAGAGUGAGAGCUUAGCUUUUCUUCAUCGAAUUGAACUUCAUAUUCAAUUCUAUUUCUAUAUUGUAAUUCCUACUACUUUCAAUAAAGUGAGUUCAUAUACUAUACAAUCUGUGUUGGAGGAUUGAGUUCCAACAAUUUGUUGCCUCUUAGAUUUCAGAACUUUCAAGCAAUUGUUUUAUAAGUGUCAUGCACCUUUUUAUGUAUGCCUCAUAAGAUAGGCACAUUGUUCCCGAACUGGAUGGGAAUCCAUUCAUAUUUAUGGAAGUCGCCAUUUUCUCAGGCUUACUGAGCUUGCCAUCUAUCACCUUAAAAAGCUUAAUUUCAACUUCAAUAUUUAUGGACAAUAAUUUUAUUUCUUUCCCCCUGCACAUGAUCUGCUUUGGACCAACUUUCGUGUCAUCUUUAUUCAAGUCCUGGAAUCCUCAACUCAUGAGUUAUGAUUAAGGCUAUUUAUGCUUGCUUUUCUAUUACCGAUUCAAACAUUCUGUGUCAAGAGAUGAUAUAUCUCUGAUUAUGUUGGCAGGAUUGGUAUAGAUGAGUGGUUACGCGUCCCUGCUGUGGAAGAUGUGUUUGCAAUAGGUGAUUGCAGUGGAUUCCUAGAGAGUACAGGGAAACAAGUUCUUCCAGCUUUGGCUCAGGUAAGUUAAGAUGCUCCCGAACAUUCUAGUUUUUCUGCUCAUUCAUAAAAUGCAAUUACGUAUUCCAACAGUAGUUAUUUUUCCCAAGAGAUGUCAUGAUUUUAUUGCAACCAUUUUUGGAUACUGAAGGUAGCAGAGCGCCAAGGCAAAUAUUUAGCCGCCUUGCUGAAUAAAAUUGGUAAAGAAGGUGGAGGGCGAGCAGGUAGUGGAAAAAACUUGGAACUUGGAGAUCCUUUUGUCUACAAGCACCUUGGAAGUAUGGCAACUAUUGGAAGAUACAAGGCCCUUGUCGACCUUAGGCAGAGUAAAGUAAGCAAACGACCAAGUUGCUCUAAGGCUACCCUACCUUUCUUUUUCACUCUAUGUAGUUGUGUGGCUUACUCUUUUGAGUAUUUUCUACAGGAAGCAAAGGGGAUAUCCAUGGCAGGGUUCCUCAGUUGGUUCGUUUGGCGUUCGGCUUAUCUAACACGUGUCAUAAGCUGGAGGAACCGAUUUUACGUGGCGGUGAACUGGGCAACAACUUUCAUCUUUGGACGCGAUAUAAGCAGAAUAUAGAAUUGGAUGUAAGUACUCAACAUCUCGCUUCCUCGUACUACUGCCACAGAAGUGAGUUGUUCUUCAAGACAAACCUCUUGCUGAUUAAUCUCUGUGUGGAUCUGAAGUAAAACCAUCAGAUUCUUGUGGUUCAUAAGAAAAAUUGAUGGCUGCUGCAAUUUCUCAUCAGAAGCUCACUGUACAGUUUAUUUCCACCAACUUAUUGUGUUAAAUCCAAAGCAUUAUUGCAUGUUCAAAGUAAUCCCAAAUGAAGCCAAUCAUAAGAAUUGUAAGUUUUGUACAACUUCAUCACUGCUUUUCAAUAAAGUUAUUUCAUUGACGAUUAUUUCAAUCCAUAUGGCUGCCCGAAUUCUAACAACUUCUCUGUCUAGUUCACUGUUCUACUUCUCUUUGUUAGAGAGAAAAAAAGGGGAAAGAAAAAGAAUAGUGGAACUAAAGAGUCUUGGAAGUGAUUGUGAAGAAUCAUCUCUAAGGUUUGAUGGAAAAACUGAGUUCUACAACUAAUAGAGAAUUUGCCAUCCUACAGAAUCUGAAAAGGAAAAUUAGUUCCCUUGCACCGAGAAAAUGAAUUAUUCAUCUCUACCAGAGUCAUCAAUCUGGAAAGACAUACUGGAUUGACAGCCGUACUCUUCUUCAACCAGCAAGUUGACUACAAAUGAUUUCUUUCACCUCGCCCAGACAGGGAAACCUUCCCUCGUGCUAUUUACAGAACACCUGAACAAUAGAGAAAACAAAAGGAAAUGAAAUCUGAUUCUUAAGAAUCAUUUCUAAAAAUGUAGAUACAAGCAAGGACAACUUUCAGUACCAAAUUAUCAUUGAAGAAAAGUUGAAAGUCCUCAGUGCUCCGGAGGUAGUUUAUGGUUAUGCAGCCCAGAAGCCAAGGGAUUGCAACGAUAUAAAAUUGUUGUGCAGUCAAACUGUAGUACCAAGAAGGUAUUGGCCUUCCGAGCUCGAGUAAAAUAUGUUUACCAGCCAUCACACCAUCGUUAUGAUCAAAACAUGUGCUGUUAAUAUGAGUUUUGUAGCAAUUUAUUUUGGCCGAUUUGGAGGGUGAUGUGAAAGAGUAACGUUGAUUGCAGGAAACUUUUGUAUCACCAGAAACCUAAUUGAUGUGGCAAUACCUUAGUGCAAUGAGUUUCUGGAUUACAUGUUUUGAUUCAUUCCUUCUUUCCCCUGAAGGUGUGGAAGCCUUUGGGAUUUUGUCACUUUAUCCUAAUUGGGUGUCGUCUAUUCUUCUUCGUGAGAAAUUUGAUUGUAAUUUUACUUGUGGUUUAAUAAUGUUUAUUUUUCAAAGAAAAAGAAGGUGGACGUGUUUUGUUCGUUAUAAACUUUAAUAAUUUAAAUGGGUACUUCAACUUUCAAUUUUCUAUUUAAUAUGUCCUUGGCUUAUUUAACAUUUCAAAAAAUCAAUAAAUCAAUUAGACAUACAAUACAACUAAAAAUUAAGUUGUAUCUAGAAAAGAUAUUAAAGUUCGUUAUGGUAACAAAAUCAGUUUUGAAUUCUUACUCAAAUGUCAAAUACAGCAACAAAUUAAUUAAUUAGUUUUUUUAAAAAAAAAUACUUUUUUUUUUUAGUCUUAAAAACUUGUUUGGAUUUUGAAAAUAUUCAGAAACAGAAAAUGUAUUUAUAAACUUAAAUUAUUAGAAUUUGGAUAAGUAUAAAUUUUUUAUCUAAGUUGAGCCUUUUCUCACGAUUCAAAUUUCCCUAAAAAUCGUUUCACCGUGACUUCAACUCCAACAAAUUCACACGGAUUAAUCAAAUUAGAACCAAAGAAUCAAACUCAACAGAAGCGAACGAUUGAGCAUAUUUACCAAAACGAAAUGCAUUAUUACCUGUAAGAACACGGAGAGUUGAAUUUGACGAUAAGCGUAUCGUUGUGUGUGAUUAUUCAAUCUCUGAUCUAUUUCCGAAUGAGUCAUAAGAGCGCUAGUUCCGCAUUAUUCAAACUGUAUUCUGCCGUAUGAUUUAAACAGGCGACAAUUUUCUGAUUGAAAUGGGUGGUGUUUGAGUAAUGAUAAACGAGAGAAUUUGGAGUGCGGAUCAGCUGAGAUGAAAUCGUAGAUAUCGAAAGAGAAAACAGAGAGCGACAACAAUGUACUCAUUAGCAAAAUUCCUCGAUUCAUUUCGCUUCGCUACACCUUCGGGCUUGUCUUUUUCAAUUUAAUUCAUGAUUAAAGAAUGAAGAUGAAUGAAUCCGAAUGCGCCUUCAAAUUAGGUUUCAAAUUUGAGUAGCUUGUGGGUGAAGGGAGGGAGUGUGGCACGCUGGAAGCACGUGUCUUUUUUAUUUUCCCUCUUUUAUUGAAGUUCAAGGCAUCUUGAACUUUGGACUUUCUACCAAAAAUACCCUACAAGUAUAUCCUUAUGCUAAGUUUUUUUUCUUUUCAAAAAUACUCUCCCAACUUUCCAAAAGUUUUAAAAAUACUUUUGUUCAAUACUUUAAAAGAUGUAUAAAUACUCAUAAAUGAUUGUAUAAUUUUUUAAAUUGAUGAAUAAAUAUUUUAAGUUUUUUUGGGAUAGACAACCGAUCGUGAUUGUUUAGAUAUUAAUACAUGAUCGUGUAAUGAAAAAAAGAAAAAGAAGUACAGAAUAUUUGAUAAUGAAAAAAUGAAAUUGCAAUGGACGACUAUUUUAGCAAUAAUAAUUAAGAAUAUAGCAACAUUUUAAAAAAAUUACAAAUAUAGCAAAAAUAUCAUUGAUAGACUUGUAUCGCUAAUAGACUUCAUAUGGUAUAUCAAUGAUAGACCAAUAUUUACAACGACUCAUAUGAUUGAUAGAAUUUGACAAAUUUUGCUAUAUUUGUAAAUCUUUUUAAAUUAUGCUAUAUAUUUAACUAAUUUGAAUUUAAUUGCUAAAUUUGCAACUAUUCCAUGAAAAAGUAAUAAGGAAAAGAAUAUUGUCUUUAUGAAAAAGAUGACGUUGAAGAGAAAUGACAUAGAAGGAUUAAAUUUCGUAGAAGGAUAUGAAAAAAUUUUGGAAUGGCAAAUAUAGAAUUUAUGAAAAAAAAUUAACAAGUUAUAGGACUUCAUAGACUUUUUUUAAUUUUGUUAUACGAGUAAUAAAUAUUUUUAUUUUUGUUCGUUAUAGGUAAAUUAUCCUACAUUUAACCUAAAUAGAUUUAAUAUGUUAUAAAAUAAAUUAAUAUUUGUAUACUAAAUAAUAUAAUAAUAUCUAUUAUCAUACAUACAACAAUUACGAAUAUGAGGAUUCAAACUUUUGAUCUUAACCUAAGGGUGUGCAUGCAAAUCAGGAACUAAGUUCAUUUGUGAUAGGACUAAUUAUUUUCUAUGGCUUUAAUUAAUAAAAGAUAAAAAUUAAUAACAACAAUAAUAAUAGAUUAAAAGAAUGGGUAAAUUUUAAAUUAAUUUUUUUUUAUAUGUAUAUAAAAGAUCAAUGACAUUAAAGUUUUUGAACUAUAACCAGAUCAUUAAAUGGAUGGAUAAAAUUUUAAAAGAAUUUAUAAUAAAAAAAAAGGAUGAAAUUUGAAAUGUAUUCAAAUAGAUGGAUUGUUAAGUUUUCAUUUGUAUGCCAAUUGAAACAUCAAUUUCAUGAUCGACUUUUAUCCUCUAAAUGAGUUUUUCAUAAGUAGUCAAUUAGAACCUAGUUCACUAAUUAAAGUAAAUAUUACAAAUAAAGAGAUGAGAGGGUGUAAAAAAGAAAGAAAGAAAGAAUGGAGAGCUCCAUAUCAAAUCUCUUUCUCAUCAUUUGAGCUUAACAAAUGUGUCUUCCUAUUUGCAAAAUUUAGGAAGAUAAAGGGUAUGGAAAGCUUUUUUUUAUAAUCAUGAACUAAAAAAAGUUUGAAAGAGUUGGAAUUGCAAGGAGAAAGCUCUCACUUCACCUUCAUUUAUAUUGGAUUUCAACCUAACUUUUCCUUUGUCAAGUGCUCUUCCCACUACCAACACCAUAAAAGAAAAGAAAAGAAAGAAAGAGUUAUCAUCAAAACAGAAAAUAUAUUUCUAAAGCGGUAAAUAAAGAUUGCCUUUUUGUAGUGCUCCAUAAUCACCACUCCCCACUUUCAAUUCUAGCUUUUUUAACCUUUUUGGUAUGCACUUGAGAAUGUAUUAUGAAGUAAUUCCAUGUAUUAUCCUUGUCUUUUAAAUUUCUUAUUGAUUGUCUCAAUAUGUAUAACUGUCUCAAGCUUUAAGAAUGGUGUUUUCUUUGUAAACUUCUUCAACCAGAUUGUGUCAAUUUUUUUAUUUGAUAAUCAUCCUGGGUUGGGAUCAAUAAGUAACUAAAAUGUCAUGAGUUCGAUCCAUAGUGGCCACCUAUCUAGAAAUUAAUUCAACACUCAAAUGUUGUAAGAUCAAGUUGGGUUGUUCCAUGAAGUGCGUAGAUUCACCCGAACACUCACUUAUAUAUAUAUAUAUAAAAAAAAAAUUCUUAUUUGAUCUUUUGAUGGUCAUUUUUUGUUUAUAUCUUAGUAUGUACAAGAGUAUAACAUUGGGUGAAACCAGGUUAGGAUAACAUUGCAACUUUAAAAAGAAUUUAAACAGUAGUAUUUAUAAUUUAGUCUUAAUUCUGAAUCAAACAUGUAGUGUUGUGAAUGGAUACUAUAAAUAUCAUUUGAACAUUGAGAAUUCAGAAUCACAUAAAGAAUAAGAAUGAGAUCAAAUGGUUUGAAAUAGGUGCACAAAAGAAAAGAAAUGUUGAAUAUAAAAUAUGUUAUUAUUCAAAUGAAAAGUAACUAGUUAUGGAAUGGGCAGAAACAUUUCUUCUGCCCAAAUUUGAUUAAUAGUACUCUGGAUACAAUAUUCUUUUAAGUUUGGGAAAGUCUCCCCUACCUAAUUAUGAUGAAUAUCAAUGAGCAAUUUUUAAAAAAAAUUAUAAAUAUAUAUAAUACCAGUAACCCGUUAAUUUGAAGCAAGAAAAAAAAAAAGCUAAACUCCAAAGCUCAAGCAACCAACUGUUCCUGUUCCAUGUACAUUUGCUUUGAAUCGCCAUUAUUGAGAUGACAAAGCAGCAGCUGCUGCUGCUCGUCCAUACUCAACUGCACAGCAUUUUCGGAUGGAGCAUCCUUCACCAGGGACUGAACCCAGGACACAUCUGGCUCGGGAGCAGUAGUGUGCAUCGUGGACGUCACUGGAGAACUGGUGCAAUUGUUUCGAAUCCCAAAUGAUGCGGACUUCUUUAACUUGUUCAGUUCUUCUCCACGAAUUCCCCAGUCUAGUUUUCCGUCAGGCGAACCCCAAUCAGACAGGUUCAAAGGCAUGGCAGUUGUGGAUGUACCUGGGGGUGAUAGUCCCGUAUGGCGGCUCACCAUACUACGUUCGAUAAAGCUCUGGCUACGCUUAGCAAAAGCAGCAGCUCUAGAACUCAAAACGCUGGCUGCAGUAGACACGGAUGGUUGAGACAACCUUGGAGGAGGGGACCCAAUGCUGUUACCAUAGCUCGAGAGGAAAGACUGAUUGAGGCUUUGGCGCAUCUGGAUUCCAGAAGGGGACUGCACCUGAGAUCCCACAGAAUCCAAUGAAAGUCCUUGUAAUUGAGGCAAAAUUGCAGGAUCUACAGACCCGAAAAAGUCCUCGAGGUUGGUCUGCUUCAUGCCUCCAAGUCCAUUCAGUUCUCCAUUUCUACUCCUUGGGGAAGGAAAAGAUGCAGGAGUUGGUAAGCCAUUGUUCCAUCUAGAAGGGGAAGAUAGACAGGACAUCUCAUCCAUUAGCUGUUGUUGUCUACGGCGUUGACUUUCGAGACCAAGUAACUCGACAUCUAAAUCCACGUCUCUUGCGCUCAAGGAAGCCUUUAGCCUGCUACCUGGAAGGUGCAGGGUUGGGGGAGCAAUAUUACACUGAGUCUGCCACAUGGUUCCACCCAUUGGAGAAGAAACUCCAGAAGGAGUUAAAGGUGGAGUUGACGAAGGAGGUAUCAAAGCUGAAGGAGAACCAAGGGUAAGUGAACUGAUCGACGCGAUGUCUAGUGAAGAACCACAUAUUGAUCUUGGAGACAGUACAGCAGAACCAGUUGAAGCAUACAAGGGGCGGAGCUCUUCUGGCUUGUGAGCAAAGAAACAGACUUUUCUGGUACAUCCGGUUUCAUCCUUGCAAAGACGGGUACGAUAUUGAGCAGGAUGGAGCCAACAUUCAAAAAUUCCAUGAGCAUAUUCACAGGCAUCCCCCUGCCUACAUGUUCCUUUUCUGAAUUCCGGACACGGGACACAGCUGUAAUGAUAUUUUCUUGGAUCCCGCCUCCUUGCAUUUUCGCCAGGGUGAACAAAUGGACACUCUGUCCAAUCAUGCGAGUAAGCUCUUGUACAAGGUUUGAUCUUAAAAGUAUACAUUCUAAACUCAUCCGUGCUAUAGAUUCCGUUCUUGAUGUCUGGAAGUGAGAGAUCAACUGGAUACUCUUUCUUCUCCGUCCCAUCUCGUGAAGCUCGAAGGGUUGAAAGCUCCAGUGGCUCCAAAGUUUCCCUCUCGUAAAAUAUUGCCUCAGAUGAGCUAAGACCUUCAUGACCAUUUAGCAAUUGUUGUAGUGUUUUUUUCCUUGAAUAAAAGGCUGAAGUAAAAUCAGGAGCAAUCAAAUCACCAGGCCGGUUACCGUUUGCAUCAACAGCACUUACAUCAGCGGAAGCAUCGAGCAAGAGUUUGACAACCUGAUCCACAACAGCAGAACCACCAGCAACAGCACAGUGAAGAGUCGUUACGCCAUCUGAACCACAAGCUCUAUUAACAUCGACACGACCACUGUGAAGGAUAUAAGACAGAACAUUCAGGCUCCCAAACAUGGCUGCAACCAUAAGAGGAGUCCUUUCUUCAUACCCCAUCUUUUUAGAACCAAAAAUCCUCCCAUACCACAAACUCGCCUCAUCAAUAUCAUGACCAUCUUCCUCAACAGCACUCCUAAAUCCAAUCAAAUCAUCUGUAGCUGAAAAUUCAAGCAAAACAGAGAUGCAAAAUCCCAAUCCCCCUCGUUUAAAUCCACCGUCCAUCACGAAGUUAGGGCUUGCAGAUUUCCUAUUGCAACCAUUACACAUCAUAAUCUAAUCCGUCUUAAGACCUCCAAAUUGCUACAGAAAAUAAUAAAUUUACAAGAAACACAAUCAGAAAUUGCAAUCAAUAAAAGGCAAAAAAAACCCAGAACAAGAAAGAAACCAAAACCCAAAAAGAAGGUAUAUUAGUUUAGAUUGGUGAAAACAUUAUCCAAAUCUUCAGCAAUCACUAAAAGAGAAAACAAAAUCAAGUAGAAAUGGAAAGAGAAGACAAAUUAAGACACCCAAAAAGCAAAACGACAUAACAAAAACAACCCCUGUUUUAGUUACCGGAAAAACAGCAAAAGGAAAAAGAAGAAUGAAAGAACAGAAACGGAUAAUACCCAAAAACUGAAAAACUGUACACAACACGAAAAUACUCAGAAUUCAAUCAAUUUAUUGCCAACAACAAACGAUUUAACUAACAAAAAACUUCAAAAGAAGAAAACCCCAUUUCAAAAUCAUGUUGAAACAACAAAAUAAACUUAUGAAAACACAAGAAAAGCUGGAGAAAAUUACCUGGUGAGAAAGAAAAAAGAUGAGAGAGCGGGAAUUGGGAGAUCGAAAGAGAAGGUGAAACAGGGCUAGAUUUUUGGCUAUGGAGAGUAAAGCGAUAGAAAGAAAGUAGGACUUUUCUUCCUUAGCUCUCUCGCCUUUAUUAGGUUGGAGUCAAAAAGACCGAACUACUUCUCUAUGCAUAAACCAAAGCUCUUUGGUCUUCGCCACCGUCCUCUUUCAAACUUUUUCUUUUUUUUUUCUUUUUUCUUUUUUCCUUUUCCCUUUUUCUUUUUAUAAUUAUAUUUUCUUUCUUGUCUUCUUCGUCUUUAUUUUCUCCUCUCCCAAAAUGAAACUCAAAUUCAAUCCCAAAUGAAAUGCAAACUCAAAUGCAGAAUUUAAAAAAUAAUUAAAAAAUUAUAAUAAAUAGUGUUUUGGUUGUUCUUUUUAAAUUAUGUCUCGGUCUUCUCUUCCUUUUAUUUACUCUCAUCUAUUUCAUUAAUUUUCUUUUAAAAUAACAAUCUACAUACAAAAUUUGAACAACAAAUAACCUAGUUAUUCUAUGCUUAGAAUAUGCUCGUAACCUGAGUUAAACUCUUGUUAGCUUAGAAGUUGGUUUUUCAAAAUAGUCUAUUUUGUUUAUAUUUUUAAUAUAAUAAAUUUUAUUUAAAUAAUAACAAAAUAUUUACCGCAUAAAUAUGCUUCUAGUAUUGAUAGGAUCCCAAAAUUUUCAUAUACUUUGAAAAUAUUUUAAUUUAUUUUAAAUUUUUAAAAACGUAUAUUGAAAAAUAUAUACAUAUUUUUUUCAUGGAUUUAUUAAUAUUGUCCAUCAAAUUCGAUUUAAAAUUAGGGUUAACCUUUCCUUUUAAUUCAAUACUGUUGGAUCAUAUACUUAAACUUUUCAGAUUUAGUUUUUUAUUCUCAAUAGAUUUUAAAUUUAAUAUUUUUAAGUUAUUUUUUUAUUAUAAUAGACUAAAUAAUAAUAAUUUUCAUGCAUGUGAAAAUGAUAGUAGAUAUAAAAGUGGACAUUUUAAAAAACAACAAGAUAUUAAAACUAUUUAUAAAAUAUAGAAAAAAUAAUCAAAUCAUCUAUAACUCUUUUAAAAUAACAAUUAUCCGUAAAAAACUCACGAUAACACAAAAUUUAUUGUCUUGAUUAAAAUUAAAUAUUUAAAGCAUGGCACAAAAUUUGAGAAGACUUUCUAAGUACAUGAGCUAAAAUAGUUUUUAUGAAAAAAACUUAAAUUUUAGUUUUUAAAAAAUAUUACUCGUAAAGUAUGGUGGUAGUUACAAUUAUAUUAAAAAUUAAGUUCUAAAACUUAUUUAAAUUUUAAAAUGGAGUUAUCCAAGUUGUAUAAUUAUACUAAUUAUAUAAGUUUGAUAAUUAAUUGUUAUCAUAUGUGGGUUUAAUUUUCACAACUAUUAUAAAUUUGAGAGUUAAAUUUUAAUAUUAUUUAAAAUUAAAAGGCCUAAUUAUUCUUAUUCAAGAUCAAACGUGCUAUUGUAACUAUCGUCAUACUAAAUAGGUGUUUUUUUUAAAAAAAAAUCACUAGUUGUAGAAGAUUAAAUUUGAGAAUUAUUAUAACUAUAAAAACUAUUAUUAGGAUGAGUUUGAUUUAAUUUUUCAAAUAAAUUGUAUAAAAAGUUGUGAUGAUUGUGAAAAUUUAUUUUAAAUAUUUUAACAACUUUUUGUAACACUUCCAAAAAAAGAUUGAAACUAUUUUUAUAAAAAAAUAACAACCAUGAUGAAGAAGAACUUUUGGAACAAAAUAUUUUGUAAAAAUGAUCCAAAUCUAAAUAAUUGAAAAGUGGAGAAUUAAAUAGAAAAAAGUAGAGGGCUAAAAUCGUAAUGUUGAUCAAUAAUGUGGCACGCCCACAAAAGGGAAAUGGAUAUCUUUUGAUUUUGAAUUACUUUGGGUGCCACGUGUUGGCGUUUGAGUGGAAGAAAUCGUGCACCAAAGUGACCGUAUCAAUACUUCGGAUCAUCACGCCUUACGCGUUUUUGGUCUGCAAGAAUUACGUGGAAUUUCACGCACCGUCGCCCUUUGUAAAAGUUUAAAACCCAUUUUCCCUAUUUUUUAAAUACCUAAAUUCACUUUCUUUUUUUGUUUUGUUAAAAUUCAAUUUUCACCCUUGAAAACGCUCUCAAAAUUUGAGGAUGGAACAGAAAUUUCAAUAUCUUACAUUUUGUUUUUUAACUAGUUUUUUAUUUGUUGAUAUUUGAAAAUUAAGAGCGGGUUUGGUAACGUUUUUGUUUUUUGUUUUUUAUUUUUAAAAAAACAGAGGUGUUUGGUAAUGUUUUUUUAUUUCUCGUUCUAAAGAAAAUAGAAACAUUUCUCAUUUUAUAACGAAUUAUUGAAAAAAAAUAGUUUUUUCUGUUCUGUUUUUCAAUUAUUUUUAUUGGUUUUUUUCUUUUUAUUUUUUUUAAUUAUUUUUAUUGGUUUCUUUUUUUUUCUCAAUUAUUUCUAUUGAUUUUUUCCUUUUUCUCAAUUAUUUCUAUAGACUUUUAUUUCUCUUUUUUUCACAAUUAUUUUUAUCGAUUUUCUUUUUCUUUUUUUCAAUUAUUUUUAUUAGUUUCCUUUUUCUUUUUCUCAAUUAUUUUUCUUUUUCUUUUUCUUUUUCUAUUUCCUUUUCCAUUUUUUCACUUGAUUUUCUUCUUCUUCCUUUUAUUUUCAUCUUCUUCCCCAAAUAACCAGUCUCCACAAGGUUUCCUUUUUCUUCCUCUUAUUGUCUUCUUCAUCUUCCUCUCUGCCUCUCAUCAUCUUUCUCUACACAACGUCUUCCUCUUCGUCGGAUCUGGGUUUUCCUUUUUCUAUUCGUGCAUAUAUGAAUUUUCUCUAUGGGUUUUCACCGAAUAUGUUGGUUUUUGCCAGAUUUGUGUUUUAACUGUGGCUCUUGUCUUCCUUUUCAUCGUGGAUUUUAGUCUUCCUCUUCAUCUUGGGUUUUCGUCUUCCUCCUCGUCGGCUCUGUCCUUCAUAUCUCAAUCUUCAUCUUAAUCUUCAUAAGAUUAUUAAAAGACUUUCCUAUCUAAGGUUUGAUAAAGUAAGUGGUGUAAUGUUCAAUUGAAUUAUAUGUAAAUAAAAUAACAUGAAUAAAAUAAAAAAUAAAUCUGGAGAAAAAAAAAAAAAAAACAAGAAAUAGUCGUCAAACACAUUUCAGUUUUUUUU